GAUAUGAACUUCAGCUGUUUAUUCAAUGUAUUAGGUUUAAUCCAUCGUUGAUUGGCGACUGUAAGCUUCUCUCAAAAUUUGGCUCUGCCUUACAAACUAUAUCAUAAAGUUUGACCUCAAAUCAGGUAGGAUUACCCGCUGAACUUAAGCAUAUCAAUAAGCGGAGGAAAAGAAACCAACAGGGAUUGCCUUAGUAGCGGCGAGUGAAGCGGCAAAAGCUCAAAUUUGAAAUCUGGUACCUUCGGUGCCCGAGUUGUAAUUUGAAGAAAGCAAUCUUGGAUUUGGCCUUUGUCUAUGUUCCUUGGAACAGGACGUCAUAGAGGGUGAGAAUCCCGUCUGAUGAGGUGUCCAUUUCUAUGUAAGAUGUUUUCGAAGAGUCGAGUUGUUUGGGAAUGCAGCUCUAAGUGGGUGGUAAAUUCCAUCUAAAGCUAAAUAUUGGCGAGAGACCGAUAGCGAACAAGUACUGUGAAGGAAAGAUGAAAAGAACUUUGAAAAGAGAGUGAAAAAGUACGUGAAAUUGUUGAAAGGGAAGGGUAUUAGAUCAGACUUGGUAUUUAGUUAUCAUUGCUCCUUGUGGGUGGUGCUCUAGCUUUUUACUGGGCCAGCAUCAGUUUUGGUGGUAAGAUAAUGACAGUUGAACGUGGCUCCUCGGAGUGUUAUAGCUUCUGUUGAUAUUACCUACCGGGACUGAGGUCUGCGGCUUUUGCCUAGGAUGCUGGCGUAAUGAUCCAAUACCGCCCGUCUUGAAACAUGGACCAAGGAGUCUAACGUCUAUGCGAGUGUUUGGGUGUAAAA
rnacentral:rRNA from 1 species